rnacentral:rRNA from 1 species
AGAGUUUGAUCAUGGCUCAGGACGAACGCUGGCGGCGUGCCUCAAACAUGCAAGUCGAGCGGGGAACUUUUAAAAGCGCAAGCUUUUAUAAGUUCCUAGCGGCGAACGGGUGAGUAACACGUGGGCAACCUACCCAGAAGACCGGGAUAACGGCUCGAAAGGGCCGCUAAUACCGGAUAAUGUCGGGGUACCGCAUGGUACUCCGAAGAAAGGGGAAACCCGCUUUUGGAUGGGCCCGCGUCCCAUCAGCUAGUUGGUGAGGUAACGGCUCACCAAGGCGACGACGGGUAGCCGGUCUGAGAGGAUGGUCGGCCACACUGGGACUGAGACACGGCCCAGACUCCUACGGGAGGCAGCAGUUGGGAAUCUUGGGCAAUGGGCGAAAGCCUGACCCAGCGACGCCGCGUGAGGGAAGAAGGCCUUCGGGUCGUAAACCUCUGUCAUGGGGGAAGAAGCAAGUGACGGUACCCAAGAGGAAGCCCCUGCUAACUACGUGCCAGCAGCCGCGGUAAU